rnacentral:tRNA from 1 species
GCAUUGGUGGCUCAGUGGUAGAAUUCUCCUCUUCCAUGCAGGAGACCUGGGUUCAAUUCCCAGUCAAUGCA